rnacentral:lncRNA from 1 species
AUUUACAUAUUUAUGUAAUUUCAUUCACAAAGAGUAUAACGAUUAAUCUGCAAAGUAUUCUAAGCCUGAGGGCUCAAUGGGGAUAUGUAAGGGAUUGUCUUCCUUUGCGUGGAUAAGAAUCAAACUGAUUCGUUUGGGUCGCCACCGGGGAGGAUGUUGCCUCGUGGCUGGCGCGAGGGCGCCGCGGUCAAGCGUGAUCGAGAGGUCGGGUCGUCGUGUUGGACUACGAUCGCGUCUGAGGACGCACCACCGUGACUCGUGUCUUGUCUGUUGGAGCCGGCUGAUGACCAUGAAGGGGUUGCGCGCCGGAGGAUAGCGACGGGGCCGAGGGUCGCCGUGCGCUCCGGGAUGGAGGCUGCCGGUUCGUCGAGGCCGGUGUUACCUUCCGUUGUCGGGGUGUCUCGCAUGGAUCGAGGCCUCCUCACGCUGGACAUCAUUUUUGCAAGUAGAAGAAACGCCUUCGCGAUGUGGAUGAAGUGCAGUCGACCUCUUCAUGGAUGAUUUGAUGAAGCGACUUUAGCAUAAGGUAGAAUGAAUGAGAUUUCUUUAAUCACAAGAAGACAAACGGAAUUAACAUUGUGAUGAUUAAUUUCCUGUACAAAUGCAUGCAUGGACCAUGGGUUGCCGCUGCAUGUCGCUGCAUUGUUAGCCUGUUGCUGCUCUUGCCAAGGAUGAAGUCGUUCAUGGCUUUGCCAGAUCGGACUGCCACUCUUAAUCACAAGGAGACAACAGAUUUGCAUUUGCAACUGAUUUCCUGAUGCAUACAUGCAUGCCGUUCUGCCACAACCAGCCUUGCUGCAAUCACUCCGCGAAUCAUGAAGCCGCCCCGUGCCUUGAUCCAGCCGACGGAGUACGCGCAGUACCGCACCAGUAUGCCGCGGUCGCUACCGCUGCUUCGCCUUGCGUAGAAGUCGUUCGCCUUCGGUCAUUAUUGCUUGAAUACCAGACGUCCAGACCUGUUGUGAAAUCGCUCCACUCGAGAGCGUACUGAUAACGUGUUUGAAGUAGAAAGUAAAGAAUCGAGAGAGUUGAAUGAAAGAUGAUUCAUUAGUCUUUAUUGAUGAUAGCAAUGGGGUAUUUAUACUCGAACGGAAGUACACAUGUUG